rnacentral:tRNA from 1 species
GCAUUGGUGGUUCAGUGUAGAAUUCUCCCCUUCCAUGCAGGAGACUGGGGUUCAAUUCCCAACUAAUGCA